UACGAAGGGGGCUAGCGUUGUUCGGAAUUACUGGGCGUAAAGCGCACGUAGGCGGACUUUUAAGUCAGGGGUGAAAUCCCGGGGCUCAACCUCGGAACUGCCUUUGAUACUGGAAGUCUUGAGUAUGGAAGAGGUAAGUGGAAUUGCGAGUGUAGAGGUGAAAUUCGUAGAUAUUCGCAGGAACACCAGUGGCGAAGGCGGCUUACUGGUCCAUUACUGACGCUGAGGUGCGAAAGCGUGGGA
rnacentral:rRNA from 1 species